CAACUACUCCCUCUGUCCCAAAUUUCUUGUCUUAGAUUUGUCUAGAUACGGAUGUAUUGUCUAGAUACGGAUGUAUCUAAUACUAAAAUGUGACUUGAUACAUCUGUAUCUAGACAAAUCUAAGACAAGAAUUUUGGGACGGAGGGAGUACAUU
rnacentral:pre_miRNA from 1 species